UCGGCGCACGACACGGAGAGAUGGCCAGCCGAGUCGGCAAACCGCAAAGCCACAGUAUAGGCCUGCACAAGAAAGUUAACAACAACAACAGUAAGUAACAAAAACAAAAAAAUAUAUAUGCAUAAACACCUAUACAUAAUAGGGCCGACGCGAGGUGCAGGGACUCACCCAAGUCAUGGAGCGCCUUAGGUUCUCCCCAAGGUCCGACUGAGUCACGUUCCCAAGGCCAUUCCAGUCGGAUACAGGGAGGCUCGAGGCAAGUUGGGUGUAUCAUUGUCCAUAAGACGUCGCCAUCCGAGUCACCUAGGGCUCCCCAUCCGUACCAGGGGCACCUGGCUGGAUGAGGACAGACGACCCGCUUGUCGAAGCGGGAGGGGGCGCGGUGAAAGUAGAAAACUGAGGCUCUGGUAGAUUAGAGGGGGGCUUCGCAAGGUCGGCGUAAUAAGUCCCCGAUGACCCAGGGUCGAGAGGAGCCUGAGGGAAGGCGUCGUAGCCCUCAGGGCCAGGGGAUACAUAACACCCCAGUGCGACAUGCUGGUCUUGAGGUUGGAAGGUCGUGUCCUGGUCAUAGGAGUCAUAAGGGGGGCAUCCCCCAGGGGACAAGGAUCGCUGAUGAGGUCCCUCGCGUUCAAGGGGGGCUUCCCCCGGCUCCUCCUCAGCCUCACCUUUGUCUGGGAAAGGCUCGGCCGGCGCAGCCAUUGUCUUCUUAGACCCAGGAAUCGACCACAGGAGCUUGGGGUCUGAGACCGGGGACAACUAGUGGCGGUUGAGAUUUGCCACGUUGAAUAAGAAUGCUGCCUUCUUCAUGGCAGAAUCAGCAUUAAUGAGGUCAUUCACGGCCUCCGCCUUCGACCCAAUGACCGAAGGAACUGCAAACUGCUCUGCAUGAUCCACGCCAGUGUCAGUGCAAGCGUGAGUACAAAACAGUAAGUUCUAACAAGAAGAAAAGGAGGACCAGGGUACUUACUGGGGCUGGCGUGGAAGUCUACACGGACAGAGAGAGGACCCUCUACGAAGAAAAAUUCUUGCUUCCAAGACCCCGUAUUAGACACUGAGCCUUCUAUCAAGGGGAGCUCAUUAUUGGCCUUUUGCAGAUAGUAGAAGCCCUUCGACUUGGGGGAUCCCAUGAGGUUGUACAGGAAGUGCACCUCUUGCGCCGUAGGGGCGCGUUUAGCCAGUUCCUUGAACGCCACAAAAAGGCAACUUAGGGUCAACCAACUGUUGGGUGAUAGCUGAAGGGGGGCCAGGUCGAAAUAGUUAAGGACCGCUAUGAAAAACGGGUGCAAGGGAAUGGUGCCACCCGCCUUCAAAAUGUGCUCGCUCAAGGCCACAAGGCCGGUCCUAGGGCGAUCGGCCCGACAUGCCUCCUGGGGAGCGUACAAGGCGUAUUCUGGGGGACCACGAUAGUGCUUCACAAUUUCUUUCAGUUUGUUCUCGGACACAUGCGACACCAGUCCAGACGCCAGUAAAGGAGCGUCAUCCUGUUCCUGGAUAGAUACUUGUCGACGUGCCUUCGGCAUAUCUGCAAAAUCAAAAGAAAAAUGUGAGGAAGAGACAGAACACUCGACCCUCCAUUUUUUCCUCCUAGCAAGAGUUUUCCAUCUAGGGAGCGACGACGGAAGCGCUGAGCUAGGAAAAACCGAGGCUAGGGGCUGAGGAGAAGCGGAGGCAGCCUCACGACCGUCAUCAGGCGAGGAUGGGUUGGGAGGUUCGGGCGGAAGGUGUCCCUCCAUAAACUCUAACUACCACUUCAAUUCAAAAAGUGUCAUCCUAAGGCUCGCUACAUGGUCACUAAGGUCAGGGGGGGAGGUGCUCCAUCUCCUCUUGACACCGAGUCAAUUUCGCUCUCCACCACCCAAAUUUUACGCCUAAGUUCAGCCAUGUACUCAAGGUGGCGGAUGUGGGCCUGCCUUAAGGAGUCAUAGUCCUGGUAGGGGUUACCCUAAGGGGACUCUGAGUUUGAGGACAGGUCAAUAAACUCAGCCCCCGGAGGUAUGUCGGAUGGGCCAUCACUGGCCAUGAAACCUUGUCCCGAAAGCGAAAAGGGGUUCACGUAUAAAUGAGGGGAUGACUACAAAACACAAAGGAAUAGGCUUAAUAUCUCCAGAUGCAAACGUCAUAAAUGGCCCACUACAGGGUAUAAAAAAGAGGGGCAUGCAUAUGGUCAAACUCACUACAAGCUCAGGCUAAGGUAUCCCAUCCCGAGUAAUGCUAAUUUGGACCGGAUGAAUGUAAAAAAAUAUAUAUAUAUACCUCAAGCAGAUAUGAUGGAGUGUUGUAGAGGUCGAAAGGAGGUCGAGGGCCAAAAAGCACCAAAGGGUCGAAGGUACGCGUCUGCAAGAAUAGACCAGAAAGAUGUGUUAGCCACCAAAUAGAUACCCCAAAAAAUUAGCUCAUAUAUAAAAAAAAAAUGAAUGAUGAUGAAAAUGAAAUGAAAAAAUAAAAUAAAGGAAGCUAUGGCAAACGUGAGGUUGUGAGGGAUUGAACCCCUUACCUCUUGAAAGAGGAAGGGUUCUCCAAACCACUAAGCCAAGGAAGUAGGGUGAAAAUAUUAGGCCAUGCAUGAAGGCCUAUUUAUAAGAAUCAAGGUGAAUAGUCUACAAGAGCACCUAAAUGUCCUCUCCUAGACUGGGGGGCAAGUGUGGACGCUCAAUAUUCCACGCCCAUAAAAGAACCAAGUCGUGUGUUAAGGUCCCUUAAAGGCCUACAUGCAUGCUUGAGCCACGAGACGCUCGAGGCGCGACCCUUUCACAACGACCUUGCAUGCCUAAGACCGUGACUCGCGAGGUGACCUCCCGUGCCUAGAUGCGUGACGCAUAAGGGAGCCUCAUGUACCCAGGGGGAAGUCUCGUUGGUAGGCCUCGCAUGCUUAGAAUCACGCCCCGCGAGACGGCCUCGCGUGCCCAGGCUCACACCCCAGCAGCCUCGGCCUCGCGUGGCCUCGCGUCUGAGCGCGCGCAGCCUCGGCCUCGCGUCCGAGCGCGCACAGCCUCACCCCAGCAGCCUCGGCCUCGAGUGGCCUCGCGUCCGAAGCAGCCUCGGCCUCGCGUGGCCUCACGUCCAAGCGCACGUAGCCUCGGCCUCGCGUGACCUCACGUCCAAGCACACGUAGCCUCGUCCGAAGUAGCCUCGGCCUCACGUGGCCUCGCGUCCGAGCGCGCGCGCAGCCUCGUCCAAAGCAGCCUUGGCCUCGCGUCCCAGCGCCCGUGGCCUCGCGUCCCAGCGUGCAUUCGGCCUCGCACCCCGAGCGCUCCAUGCCGUGUGAGGCGUGUACCCUUGGGAGCCACACCAUCGGGUGGCCAUGCGAGGGAGGCCUCGCGAAGGGGGCUCGCGAGCCGCAUAGGAGCCAUGCCAUCAGAUGGACCCCAAUGCUUAAAGGCUCCGGUACGAGUCGAAUGGAACGUACUUGUACGAUUUAGUACUGGGUACGGCCGCUAAGACCUCGUAUGUCGAGUACGGACACCCGUACCAGUGGGGUAGUGGGAGUGCUGGAAUAAGAGUUGUGGUUCGUACGUCUACCGCCAGGAGUCAAAGUCGACACCACUACCUCCUGCGCCACUAUGUCUGUCCCCACUCCACUGACAUAAGUACGGACAUGUAGUGGAGACAUCCUCCUGACGCCUGCCCCUGUACUGGAUGGACGGCCACAACCUCUGAAACCACUCUCCUGACAGAGUACUUAUGUACCACCUGGUCCCCUGGACCACCAUGUACCCAGGGUCAUUAGAGCCCAAUAUAAAAUGAACUCUAACUCCACCAGGGGGGGGGUUGGAAAAUUUACUGUAGCAAGUGCUUGAGAGUGAAUGAAUGAUUGAUUUCUCCAUUGUUGUUCUGUCAUUGUUUUUGAGUUAUUACUUAAAUUUCUACAGCUUUUUCAUUGACUAUCUUUACUUGAUAGCUUUUUCCAACUCAACUUAGUUGACGAGUUCUCACCGUCAACACAUAUGGUAUGUUGGAAGUAUUUUGACCCAAAAUCGAUAUCAAAAUUUGAUUUUGCAUCUUUUGGAAAAACUGGGGUUUUCCUGCCUUUCUGACAAAUGAAAAGUUUUCUCCAAAAAAAUUUCAUUUUAGCUUUUUGAUAUGAAAUCUUCACUGCUCGUAUAUUUUAAUAUGUUUGUCUUUUAAUGCUACGAGCAGACUUUAUUUUCUUCUUUGUUUAUUCCUUCUAUUGGUCAUAGAUUCUCACUUCCCCUUCUUUUUUUCCCAGAUAGUCAUGCAAGACUACUGAGGAGGUGAGAGGCCAAUGGAUGAAGACCUCUUAGCUUUAUUGUUCGAGGAUACCGAGAAUCCUGCCCCUCCGAUUUCACAAACUCAUGCCCUGCACCAAGUCGUACUAAUACUCCACCAAGGCGUAGGACUUGAAAACACAAAACUCCAAUGGACAAAGUAAAGGAGGUGGCCCAGAGAAAAAAGAAAGACCCCCACAUUGGUCGACAUGCGGCCCACGCACAGACCUCUACAACACACCCUCGACUAGCUGAAGAUGAAGUUUCUUAGUUGGUACUCUCUAAAGUAGUUUCCAAUGUAGUGCUCAAAUGGAUUGUAUUCCAUGGUACAUAGCCCCACCCAAAGUUCUCUCAAGUAGGGUGGUGGACAAAUAUCCACACAAAAAAAGUACGGACUCCAUGGUAUAACCCUGUACAAGCCUUCUCCCGACCAAAGGGCCAACGUUCCUAGAGGCGCUUAUAGUGUCUGGUCGAGGUAUAUAUCAAGGUAGGAGCAACCCUUCCUCUCCACGAUUAUUUCAAGAGGGUAUCUAAUUACUGGACAUAAUUCAUUUUCAAAUCACCCCGAAUGGAUAUAGAGUGUUAAUUACAUUCUAUAUCCUUUAUCACCUUAAGAGAUGGUCCGUUCCUACUUCACACGAGAUCAACUACUUGUUUGAUCUUAAGUCAAAACCAAACCAAAACAACACUGGAUUCUUUUAUUUUUUUAUCAAGAAAACUCUUACACCUUCUUGAAAGAUACUACAUACAAAUUCAAUGCAGAAAAAUACUAACAACAGUAUUUUCUUACGGCUGAUAUGGUUGUAGAGAACUUGUCAUUCGCUUGUGGAGGACCAUGGUACUAACUAGUGCCUACCCAAGCCAUGAUCGAUAGAGGUGACAUUCUGGCCAGCCUUACACACAAGGAGAAAAGUGUCAAACACCUGGUGACCAUGCCAACCUUCGACUGGUCAGAAUUUUGUAACACCACUAGGAUGCAAAUGAGUCAACCAACGGGAGUACAACUACUGAAGGCACUGAGAAAUAGCUCCUUGCAGAUCAGCCUCAAGACAUUUCACAACCCUUCAAGCAUUGUGCUACAAUGGUUAACAAAAGGGAGUCGAGCAAAAUUCCCCGACCAGCACCAAUCACUCCUUCUCAUGGCAAGGGAAAAUAGAAAAUGCCCGAGCGCCCUGGUCGAAUGGAAUACUCCUCGUCGGAGGACAAAAAUGUAAUGUAGUCCUCGUAAGCCUUUGACAUCUAUGCUUCAAUAGGUGCAACUGCCUCUACCAAAAGGUCGAGCAAAAAAGAAACAGGAGGCUCCAGUGGGGCCUCUCCAGCAAAAAGGCCAAGAACAACAGAGGCUAAUGCUCCAACAAGAUAUGCUACCCCUCCACAAUCCAAGGAAAAUACUAUUGGGAAUUUAUGGCUUUACACUUUCUUAAGCAAUAAUGCAUAAUAUGAAAAGUUCAAUAUAACAAACCCUAGAUUCUAAUCAAGAUCCUUGUUCAAAGUAUGAAUGCAAUUCUUGAUAAUCAAAUAACCAUGUUCAUGGUAUGAAUGCAAAUCUUGAAAACAAAGGAUUAAGUAAUUAAAUGAUUAUAAGUUGAACUUCAAAACAUUUAAUCAUCAAUAGUAACAACAUAAGCAUAAUAAAAUGACAAAAUACAAGAUUGGGGUUAGAGAUACAACCUUUUGUAUUGAGAAACUUGAAUCUUAAAAUUUGGGGAACUUCUAAGGUUUAUACACAAUACGAAUAUUGUUGUCCGAAAUCUCUAUUCUAAGACUUCCCUAAUUUCUUGAAGCUUCAACCAAGUAGAAUUAGAUUUCGGAUUGAACAAGCCUUAAAACUCAUGCAAGUCAAGCAAUGCUUGAUGAGUUUCUUGGAGAAAACUUUGGUAUUUGAGAGCUAUAGAGAGAGGUUAGAGAGAUUGGAGAGAGUGAUCAAGUCUUCCAAAACUCUAUGAGAACACUUUCAUAAUGUAGGAAUUGUCAUUAGAUCUAAUCAAUAGGAUUAGAUAUAAUUAACUUGUAAUUUGGAGCUUACGUUACGUGUUUGUACAGACACGUCAGACGAUACAUUGCCUACAUGUUGGAUAUGUAUCGCUUGCCAAGCGAUAUGUUGCCUACUAUCAAAUGAUGUAUUGCCAGCUGGAGCUUUUGAGACCCUUCGCAUAUAGGCGAUGCAACACCUCUUAGGAGGCGAUGCAUCACCACCCCCACUAACUUUUAACCCUUCAAAUUGUCCUAUAAUUAUUCCAAAUUCUACAAAACUUUUUGGGGAUCCUUAAAUACUUCCAUGUAUCACUUUAGACCCAUAAAAGUUACUUUUAGAUGCGUAAUACACAAUCUCAUGUUUUCACUUCAACUUAAUUGAAAAUUGUUAAGUGUUUCGCACCUCAAUGUGUAAACAUCUUAACCAUUAUGUUUAAAAAAUCUCGGCAAAUACUCCUGUAACACUCUAAGUUGCUAAUAAGGUUUAUGAUCUUGAUUAGCGCGCCUGGAGGGCAAUAAGUGAAUUUAUAUGCUAAUAUGUGAAUUUAAAUGAAUAUGUGAUUAGAAUGCAUGUUUAGGUGGUAUAAAUAUGCAUGUGGGCCCCGUUUGCAUGAUAGGGGUAAAUUGGUAAUUUUAGCCCGUUGAGGGCAUAAAUGUGAUAAUUGUAUUAUGUGGUUUGAACCACAUGGGUGUGGUGAUAUUAAUGUGAUGCACGUGCCGAGACGGUCCUAGAGAGCAAGAUAACUCAAAAGUCACAACGGGAUUCUAUACCCGGCUCGGGAGGAGCCUAGGGGUACUUUGGGGAAAUUUCAUGAGUUGGGUUGUGAGUUUGUGGUUAAUGGUUAUUGGUGAUUAGGUAACCUGAGUAACCAUUAGUAACUGCUGAGAGUAAUAAGUUUGGAUGGAAAAUGGUAGAAUUGUAAUAUAAGUGAAAGGACAAGAGUGCCCUUGAGGCUUAGUUAGAAGAGGAAUUAGAUGGAAGGGUAAGAUGGUAUUUUGGCAAGGAUUCAGAUAACUUCAGCUGAGAAGAGAAGUCAUUCACGUUUUAACACUUAGGUAUAUUUUGUUUUGGCUGAAAGUUUGAGGAGAAAACUAGAAAGAAAGGAAAGGAAGAAGGGAGCUGAAACUUGAGGGAUCUAGGAGGAGAAUCAAGUGGUUGGAGGCAAUUAAACUUGAUCAUAAACCAAGACUUUUCUGAGGUAAGGAUUUAUCUCUGUUUUGUUAAGUUUCUAAGCUUGAUUUUCUUAGAGUGUUAGUAUGAAAAUUGAAAGUUGAUGUGUGGCUGUUUGGUGGAUUCUUGGGGAUGAAGCUUGCUUAGAUUCAGUUUGGGAAUAAGGGGGGUUUGCAUGGAGCUGGACUUGGAGAAGACUCAGGGGCGAAUUUCUACAUGAGGCAAGGGUUUAUGCAUCUCUGUUAUGUAUUAGUUGUUGUGAAUCAAGUUGGUGGUUUGUUAGUUUAAGUUUCAUAAAGUUUCAAGCCAAUUGGUGAAUUGGGGAUUUGAUUGUGUGUUUGGGUAUAUUGUUGAUGUUUAUGAGUUGUUAGAUGGUCUAUGUGGGGUUUUGAAUUGAUUUUGGGGCUUAGGUACUUGCUUGGGAUGAUUUGGAGUGGUUUUAGCUCGGGGAAAACGCAGGGAAAAACCCAGAAAUCUGGGUUCGCGAAGGAGCGUCGCGGCCCACCGCGAACCCAGGGCCUGGUAAAGCGCCUGGGACAACAUGGCCAUAAGUGUUUAGCCCAUUGGUGGCCUGGAUAUAUGCUAAGUGUUUUUUGUGUAUAUGUUAUCUGCUUGUGAGGGUUUUCUUGCUGGGCUUCGGCUCACGGGUGCUCUGUGGUGCAGGUAAGGGCAAGGGAAAAGUCAACCAUCCAUGAGUAUGGAGAGCGUGAAGCGGCGUGUACAUGUUUGGUCUGCCUGGCUGCCACGGCCAGUGGUUUUGGGAGAUGGUUGUAUUAAAACUUAGAUUUUCUCGUUUAGUCGACUCAAACUUGUAAAUUAUAUGUUGUAAAUAUUUCUAAACAGUAUAUUGGGAUCCCAAGUGCCAAACACUCAAUGUUUUGUAGUAAAUGGAAUUGUUUUCAAAGUUUAUUUCACUGUUUAUGAUUUAAUUACACUUUUGACCUAAAAACCUCGAUUAGCGAGUUAACUGCACGUUUAAAACUCACUUAGUAACGGCUCUAAGGAAGUAGGGCGUUACAACUUGGUAUCAGAGCGAGCCAAGGUUUAUUGGUUCUGGAGAUUGACCAAACAUGUACGCUCGCUGUUAGUGACAAGCUCGACUUAGGGUUGGUUGGUAUGAAUGAUUGAUAUGCUUAAAUACGUGUUUAAAUGCCCUGUUUGCCUGCUUGUUGAUAUGGAGCAUGAUGAACGAGUUGACAUAUGCAUGAGAUACUGAUAGGGCCUGGCCCUUGACUAUUGCAUGAUGAGAUUAAAGCAUGUUGAGUGUAUGUGGUUAACUGCCUAGAUUGAAUCGAUAUGUUAUAUCUAUUUAUUGGCUUGUAUGAAGCAUGAUGAGUGUGGAUAUACUUAGUUGUGAUAAAAUUUGGUAGCCGAAUGCAUGGCAUUGUGGAUUUGGCCUAAUAUGCUUUGUGUGUGCAUGAUAACUGUGAUUAUUUGGAUUUAAUUGUGGGUUGGUUCAGAGUGUGAACCCCGGGGUUGAGGAGUUUGGUCGGCAGUGGAAGAUGAAUUCAAGUUGUUUGUGCCUAGGAUGGUUAAGUGGACUUGGUGUUGUUUUGUAGGGGGAUUCUAGAUAAUAGUUGGAGUUAAACACCUCCAUCUACCCCUGAAAGCCGCAUCAGAUUAUUGCUAGUGUGUGAGCAAGCUGUGGAGUUUAAUAGUUGAGACGGGACAGAGGAAUAACAGACUUCUCUAGGAAAGAGCUGCUUUAUGUGCUUCGAUAGUAAGGUUACCAGUGUUGGGUUAUUGUGAGGAUAAGGACAGACAAGGUUAUUAUGUGGAAGGCCUAAAGGGUGUUAUUCUUUGAUUUUGAGGGAAAUUUAGGUUGAUAAAGAAUUGGACAGUGGAUGGGCAAAGUUAAUUCCACCCUUGGUUAAGAGGAUGAGAGAUCAUGAUUAAAGGGUUGUGUUAAAUAAUGUGGCAGAGGGAUGCCUGGAAAUGAUACUCGGGCUGAGAUAUUGGCAUGAUGGGUUGGAAAGAACUCAGACGGUGAAUUGAUAGAAGAAGUUGUAAAGACAUGGUUUGAACUGUGGAGACUGGUGGGCUUAUAAGCUUGGUUUGGAAUGAUAGGGUAACAACAGUGUGAAUCAAUGGGUUUCGUGAAUUGGGUAAUUCAUUUUGGAAAAUUGAUACUGACGGAUGUAGCUGGAAAUGAUGAUGAUCCAUUUAAGGAUUGAACUCUGGAAUAGUCCAAAGUGUUUGGGCCGCUUCAACGUAAGAACUUAUCGUCUGUAUGUGGGUGGCGGAGAGGGUCAUGUUGUUCAAAGAACCAAGAAAAGAUGUAUAGAGCAUGAGUGCCAGAGCUGCAAAUAGCAGUGCUUCCUUUAAUGGAGUUUAGUAAGGAUAGAUUCUUGGUAAUCGAGGCAGAAGAACCCUAGAUAGUUCUGUGGCUCCUGGUGUUGCCAGAAAGGGGGGGAAAACUGAUUGAUAAGAUAGUCAUCAGGAUAGUGAUGGAAACCAGUGAAGUUAUCUACUAUGCAUCAGAGGUAAGAGAUGCCCCUGGGAGGGUGUCAGGUGAGAGCAUGACUGCUACAUAGAAUGACUCGGUAUGUUAGGAUUGAUUUUCCAUGGCUAGGGGAUGGAAGACUGGAAUGCCUUGUUACAUUUGAAGUUGAGGCUAGUUUUUCGGAGUUGACUGGUUAACUGGAAGUUUACGUUUCUGGUUAUAUAUAACGGGCUGGAAGAGUUCGAUACUGAGAGUGUGUUAAGAAAGAAUUGGACACAAGGUAUAUCUUUCAAGAUACUUUGCGAGGGGCUGGAAAUAUUAAGAAGAAUUAGGAAUUUCUGGAAGAGGAAUUGGGGCACCGGUAAUAAAGGAGCUCGUGGUGAGAGCAAUAGAGCUCGUCAUAUGUAAGUCUUGGCAUGAGUCAGAAUGGGAAUAAAUUUGUUAAGAAACAACUAUGGAUAAUGGAGAAAAUCGAUUGGACUACUUUGGUUGGACGGUAUAGCAACUAAGCUGACUAGUAGGGGUUCAGAUAGGUGUACAAGGGAGGACUGGGCACGCUCCAUAACUUAGCUACAUAUAGGCUCGGUAUCAGGGAUACUAUGAAAGAUGAUAAUAUUUUGACAAGGAAAAAAAAACUACUGAAGUAGUUGGGGAAUUUUGAUCUUGGGGUGAAUCAGUUAGGGCAUCACAUUGUGGAAAUUGUUAGUAGCAUUUGAUAUGGAUAAAGAGAUUAGAUGCCCAGAUACUAGACAGGAUAAUGUCUCCAGGAGUUGAUCUACGGUCUGGUUAUCACCAGUUGGGGGUCAAGGAGAGAGACAUUUCAGGAAUCACUACUUAUACGGGGUAGGGUGUGAUGGAUUGGUAACAAAGGUUCUUAAUCGAUUUAAGUGUUAGCGGCUCAGGUGAGUUCUACAGGUAGAAGGUAUAGGAAGUGCACGGACAAUCUCCUUCAAGGUUUAGAGACGGUAUGAGGAACUGCUCCAAGUCAGAAGUAAAAAGCGGACGACUGCGCUAAGGAUAUUAGCACUAAAGAAGCAGGGUCACAGGGGAAGCUCCAUGAGGUGUCAGUUGGGUCUUGUCAGGGAUAUUCAAAGUAAUGCUACAAGAAGAAGAGAGGACAGGUGUGUCGAGGUUUGGUCUGAAGCCACAGGGAAGCUACUUAAGAACGUCUGAAGGAUAGAGAGCACAACAAGAAUGGCAAACGCAUCAUCCACUACACAAGUGUCUUCGCAGAAGCCUACUCCAAAGAUUGGGGGAAAACAUCAGAACUUGAAGACAGACUGGAUGGGCAGUGUUAGAUCAGGAGUUCAAAGGACACACUAAGAAUUGAUUAGCGCUUGGUAAAGCGGGAAUAUGCGUGUUUUGGGUUGAAUAAACUGUUACAGUGUGAAGAAGCUAACUUUUGGUGAAAGUAGGAAACUGUAGGGGGGUACAUCACAGGUUGGGGCACACCCAGGCUUAAACUGAUGAGAGGAUGGAUUAAGCCUUGUGGAAGGUAAAGUGAGAAUAUGGUAAAUUGGCUUGAUUAAAUGAGUAGGCAGAGUACGCACCGUAAACGGUAAUGAGUAUUUGGUCAUUCGUAAGAAAGGUAACACUGAGACCCAGAUUUAGUGAAAAGUAACAGAUGGGUGAUUGGUGUUUGAAAUCCUCUACGGUACAGGGGGAAAUUUAGUUAGAGGCAGAACUCCUAACUGGGAGACGUGUGUCAGUCAAAGAAUUAUGCCAUAGAUUGGAAUGGGGUGGACAAGGAAACGACUGAGGUAGGUGUUGUGUUAGUAUGUAAUGAUAAGUAGGAGAGCAUCACUGAACUAUGGAGUUCAAAUUGUUGGCUUUGGUUGAAAUGGGGAGGAACCCUGUCAAGGUGGUAUAAGUUGGGAUACCAGGAUCGGAUGAAAGAUCUAAGGAGAACUUGGCAUAGAAAUAAGAAUUCUGAAUGGAUAUCACUCCACCUCCUAGGGUAUGUUGUACCGGGAGGGCUGAGCGGGUGACAGAAUUUAGUGUCUUCCUUUGGACACGGGAGGGUAAAGUGAUGUGGUGGUGUGUCACAGGAGUAGACCACAUUAGGCUAUAAGCAAGAUGUUUGGACAUGAAAAGUUUUAACUCAGCUGAAUGAGUUAAGGUAACUGGUUCAGGUGAACUGGUAACAGGGUAGAACGUCAAUGGUACUGGAUUGAGACCCUAUAAUAUUCUAAGUUUUGGAAAGGAACUAGAGAACAAAGAGAACAGAGUGGGAACCUGGAAUUAUCAGUUGAUUGCAAAUGGAAUAGCAGACUGAAAGCUUAACAGAUAUCUUAAGGAGUUAAGCGUUGGGUAUGCGAAUACUUGAGAUGUUAAGAAAGUGUAAUCCUUGAUUAGUGAGUCCUGGUGACAAAUAAUGACGUCUAGAUAAGGUAACACGAAUAUAGGAUAUGGUAAGAGGUGAAAGACAGUGAAUACUACAGUUUAGUAUUGGUUCAGAGGGAAAGCCAAAGAGGUUGAUGGAAUUCUUAAGGCAGGAGUGUCUUUCUAUCUAGAAGAAUAAAAGAACUUGUACAUUGUUAAAUUUUGGAAAAUAAAGCUCUGGGAUAAGAGAUUUGCGUCUCUCUAAGUAAGAGCAGACAAGAAAUAGAAUGGUGUUUAGAGAAAGAAAGGGGAGUUCUGACUCCUGAUUCAACAUAAAUUCUGAAGUUGUACCAAGGGUUAGGCCAGAGGCCUAUAAAUUGAUCUCACCCUAGUAGGGGUGAUGGCUUAUGGAUAUUUCUGGAAUAAGACAAUGUGGUGGUCAUUGUGAGCUAAGCAGACCUUGAAGUUUCAGCGGGGUUAUGGUGUAGGCAGAGGGCUUACGAAAAUAUGGCUAUUAGACAAGAUCUUGCGGAACAAGAUUGUUACUCUUGUAAGAAUGUAGUUGAGGAAUAGAGUAAAAGCGAUGGACUUUGAAAGUUAUAGUAAGAGGUAUGAGGUGUAUUGUCUUGCGGAGCAAGACCAUCGCCUUGGUUAAAGUGUUGUGGGGGAACAGCAAGGUUGAAGAGGCGACAUGGGAGCUUGAGUCCGAUAUACGGGAGCGGCAUCCCGAGUUGUUCAAAUAAUUUCGAGGGCGAAAUUCUUGUAAGGAGGGGAUAAUUGUAACACCCUAAGUUACUAAUAAGGUUUAGGACCUUGAUUAGCGCGCCUGGAUGGCAAUAAGUGAAUUAAUAUGCUAAUAUGUGAAUUUAAAUGAAUAUGUGAUUAGAAUGCAUGUUUAGGUGGUAUAAAUAUGCAUGUGGGCCCCGUUUGCAUGAUAGGGGUAAAUUGGUAAUUUUAGCCCGUUGAGGGCAUAAAUGUGAUAAUUGUAUUAUGUGGUUUGAACCACAUGGGUGUGGUGAUAUUAAUGUGAUGCACGUGCCGAGACGGUCCUAGAGAGCUAGAUAACUCAAAAGUCACAACAGGAAUCUAUACCCGGCUAGGGAGGAGCCUAGGGGUACUUUGGGGAAAUUUCAUGAGUUGGGUUGUGAGUUUGUGGUUAAUGGUUAUUGGUGAUUAGGUAACCUGAGUAACCAUUAGUAACUGCUGAGAGUAAUAAGUUUGGAUGGAAAAUGAUAGAAUUGUAAUAUAAGUGAAAGGACAAGAGUGCCCUUGAGGCUUAGUUAGAAGAGGAAUUAGAUGGAAGGGUAAGAUGGUCUUUUGGCAAGGAUUUAGAGAACUUCAGCUGAGAAGAGAAGUCAUUCACGUUUUAACACUUAGGUAUAUUUUGUUUUGGCUGAAAGUUUGAGGAGAAAACUAGAAAGAAAGGAAAGGAAGAAGGGAGCUGAAACUUGAGGGAUCUAGGAGGAGAAUCAAGUGGUUGGAGGCAAUUAAACUUGAUCAUAAACCAAGACUUUUCUGAGGUAAGGAUUUAUCUCUGUUUUGUUAAGUUUCUAAGCUUGAUUUUCUUAGAGUGUUAGUAUGAAAAUUGAAAGUUGAUGUGUGGCUGUUUGGUGGAUUCUUGGGGAUGAAGCUUGCUUAGAUUCAGUUUGGGAAUAAGGGGGGUUUGCUUGGAGCUGGACUUGGAGAAGACUCAGGGGCGAAUUUCUACAUGAGGCAAGGGUUUAUGCAUCUCUGUUAUGUAUUAGUUGUUGUGAAUCAAGUUGGUGGUUUGUUAGUUUAAGUUUCAUAAAGUUUCAAGCCAAUUGGUGAAUUGGGGAUUUGAUUGUGUGUUUGGGUUUAUUGUUGAUGUUUAUGAGUUGUUAGAUGGUCUAUGUGGGGUUUUGAAUUGAUUUUGGGGCUUAGGUACUUGCUUGGGAUGAUUUGGAGUGGUUUUAGCUUGGGGAAAACCCAGGGAAAAACCCAGAAAUCUGGGUUCACGAAGGAGCGCCGCGACCCUCUUCUUAGGCGCCACGGCGCGAGGCUGUUUCUGGGCAGGGGAAAGUUCUCUGACUUGCUGGGCGUCGCGGCCCUCUAGGGCAGCGCCGUGGCGCUAGGCCAGUUUCAGGGCAUAGAAAUUUUGCAAUUUUGAAAUUUUGCUCCGGGGGUUCGGGGGAUGUUUCCGAUGAAUUGUUUUAGGAAUUUGGGGAUUCCAAGAGUGUGGGAUUGGUCCCGGGAAGUGGUUUUGGAUUGAUUAGUAAUAAAGGAUGUUUUAUAUGUGUUGUGACUAGGUCUUUGGAGAGGCUCGGGUUAGAGGACCGUGCUCGCGGCUUUGGGGCAUCGGAAACUCGGGAUACAGGUAAGAAAACCACUGUUCCCACAGAGCCUGUAUGCAGGGCUGAGCACAAUAUGUUUGAAUUGCAGGGUGUAGCCCUUUGGUUGAAUUUGUUAGUACUUAGUAUAUGUUUGUUAUGCUAUGAUUACGAUUAUGUGAAUGUUCGGCGAGAUCUGGGAACGGCGCAGGCCGAGGUCGGCAUCGGCCGGGAACAGGAAAGGGCUGGGAACGGCGUUGGGCACAUUGAGUGCUAAGCCGAGUACGGCAAGGGGCCGGGAGCAGCAUUGAGCACGUGGGGUGCAAGUUGCCAGGGUGAGUCCCUAAAGGAUACCUGGGAUAUCCUCACGGUGUGGAUCGUGAACCCAGGGCCUGGUAAAGCGCCUGGGACGGCAUGGCUGUAAGUGUUUAGCCCAUUGGUGGCCUGGAUAUAUGCUAAGUGUUUGUUGUAUAUGUUAUCUGCUUGUGAGGGUUUUCUUGCUGGGCUUCGGCUCACGGGUGCUCUAUGGUGCAGGUAAGGGCAAGGGAAAAGUCAACCGUCCAUGAGUAUGGAGAGCGUGAAGCGGCGUGUAUAUGUUUGGUUUGCCUGGCUGCCGUGGCCAGUGGUUUUGGGAGAUGGUUGUAUUAAAACUUAGAUUUUGUCAUUUAGUCGACUCAAACUUGUAAAUUAUAUGUUGUAAAUAUUUCUAAACAGUAUCUUGGGAUCCCAAGUGCCAAACACUCAACGUUUUGUAGUAAAUGAAAUUGUUUUCAAAGUUUAUUUCACUGUUUAUGAUUUAAUUACACUUUUGACCUAAAAACCUCGAUUAGCGAGUUAACUGCACGUUUAAAACUCACUUAGUAACGACUCUAAGGAGGUAGGGCGUUACAACUCCUCCGCCAUCUCCUCAACAAGAAUCAUUAUAUGACUAGACUGACGUCUCCAGUGUUGCUGAGAUGUUGAGCAACGCUACUAUCUCAGCCAUCGACAUGCUCAACACAGUAGUAAGACACCAUCUAAGAAAAUAGGCAUUUCCCAUCCUCCCUACUCUCAGGCCCGACCAGGUUCUUGGUCGAUGCCUUAAGGAGUUUCUCAAUUCUUUACUGGCCUUCAACAAUGGUUGGAGGAGUGUUAAUGAAGUGCACGACAAUCUUAUGGAGGAGUGAAAGCAAUCAAUCACUGAGAAGAAAACUGCAGCUGAUACGAUCAAUGCUCUGACUGACGAUUUGAAGUAGUCGAAUGAGGAGGUAACAAAGUCAAAGGAGUACCUGGACAAGGCAAACCAUUCAGUAGGAAAAUAUAAAAAAAAACUUGCCAAUGCGAACCACGAUGAGGUGGUAAAGUUGGACAAGGAUCUGAUAGAUAUCAGAGAAGAGUCGAGCGUCCUUGGGAAGAAAGUAGAAAUGCUCGAGCAGACCAAUCAGAGCAACUUGGAGCAGUUCCAGGGAGCGGUGUUUUAUUGCUUCUACAUGUUCUGGAAGAGUAAUAAAAAUUCCAACUUUGAUUAUCUUCUUGAGCAGGAAGAAAUCGAGAAAUGUGCUGCUUGCUUAGCCGAAGAGAACAACCCUCCUGCUUCUUGAGAGAUCUCUCUAGCCACAUCCAUUGAUGGAGUAGACGAUGCUAAUACUGUCACUAACUAGCGAGAUGAAUAAACUUGGCCUGCCCAAUCACUUUCACUUGUAAUAACUUAGUUUCUUUUUCCAACAAACGAACAACCUGUUCGUGGUGUUGAGACAAUACACUGCCUAAUGAAGUUCCUCUUUUUAUUUACUAAAUACAUCCUAGCUGUACUGCUCGCGGUGUAAAGACAUUCUAUUUGGUAUUAUAAUUUUCAAGAUUAAAACACCUGCUUGUAUGGCCGAACCUAGCACAAGACUUUACUAAUUACACCCAUGUGUUUACAUAUUUUCAUAUGGUUUGCUUAUACUUUGUGUCUCAUGUGCCUCCCAAGUGAUCGAGGGGCUAAAUGUUACUGGUCACUUGCCAUAGACUAUACGUAUUCGAACGUAUAACAUGUAAAUAAAUAUAAAUAUAGUAGAAAAACGCAUUAAAGAGAAAAUACUUGUAUAAAAAAUAUAAUAGUUGGCAAGAAUAACUGGCUGCGCACAGUUCCUUUUAUUUCUCGUAAAAAAUGAAUGAUAUUUGUGUCUAUAUGAGUAACCAUAUUGGUCUUACAGUUUAAGCGACUAUCCAAAUAUAUGACUAGCCCUUGUUCAAAACUAGUAAAUAAAAAAUGUUUACAUACAAUCCACCCUUUGAAACAUAAAUGUUUAUUUAUAGUACUUGCGUAGGUGUUCUCCAUAGCGGAGAAUGAAAUCUCCAUUUAAUUGAGCAAGUUUAUACGUUCCUGGCUAAAGAAAUUCUUCAACUAGAUAAGGACCUACCCAAUUUGGUACAAGAACUCUAGCAGUAUGGUCACAAGUAUUGAGAAAAUCUCGUCGAAGUACUAAAUUGCCAACAUCAAAUUUCUUUCGCGUACUUUAGAGUUAAAAUAUCGAGCAACUUUUUGUUAGUGAGUUGCUACUCAUAGUUGGGCUUUUUCUCGGCAUUCUUUAAUCAAGUCUAAUGAUUCAGCCAGCAAUUGGUGGUUGUAUUUUGAUCGUGUGUUAGCCUCCUGUGUGAUGGUGGAUCUAUUUCAACUGGUAGUAAGGCCUCUGACCCAUAUGCUGUUAGGAAUGGUGUAUGGCCAAUGGCUAUUCGAUGUGUUGUUCUAUACAACCAAAGUACUUCAGGCAAUUCUUCUUGUCUAUUUGAGUCUUUUCUUUAGGGUAUCCUUCAGUGUCAUGUUUAUAGCUUCAACUUAUCUAUUUUCUUGUGGAUGAGAAACUAAAGAGAAGCUUUUUGUAAUUCCAUGUCGUUCGCAAAAGUUAGUGAAGAGGUCGCUAUCAAAUUGUGUGUUAUUGUCUGCGCUAUCUUCUUAGGUAAUCCAUAGUGACAAAUGAUGUUUUUAACCAUGAAGUCAAGAACUUUCUUUGAUGUAAUGGCUCGAACGGUUCAACUUCUCUCAAUUUAGUGAAGUAGUCGACAGCUACAAUUGCGUACUUUACACCACCAUUUAUUGUUGGUAAAGCCCCGGUCAGAUCUAUCCCCCAAACAGCAAAUAGCCAAGCGCUUUUCAUCUGUUUUAAUAUAUUAGGAGUUGCUCGAGGUAUCUUGGAGAAUCAUUGGCACAUGUCACAUUUACGUACAUACUCCAUUGCAUCCUCGAUCAUAGUUGGCCAGAAAUACCCUUGUCCUAAAACAUUUUUUGGAAAGACUCUGCUCCCCAACGUCACCACAAAACCUUUCGUUUACUUCCUGUAAAUGUUCUUUGGAUUGUUCCUUGGUGAUACACCUUAACAAUGGCAGCGAAAACCCACGUCAUUAUAGGAUUCCAUCGACUCAUAUAAAUCGAGCAAAUUGCCUCUGAAGUCUUUUUGAUUUGUUCUAAUCAAUAAGAAAUAUCCCCUUUUCGAGGUAUUGUAUGAUGGGAGUCAUCCAAGUAUCGACGACGUUAUUAACCAUGGCAGACUCUUUCUCUUGUAUUCUAGGAGCUGCUAGAUGUUCGACCAGAACAAUGUUAAGUGUAUCAGCCUCUUUUGCACUAGCUAAUUUUUCCUAGCCAUCUGCAUUUGAGUUCUGGUCGUGAGGUACCUGUUGUAAAGUAUACAUACUAAAUUGUGCCAAUAAUUCUUUAGCUAUGUUUGGAUAGGCGACUGUUUAACCUAAAAUUGAACAUGGCGAUGUGGCAUUUGAAGAGGACACCUGGUAGUAAUCGACAUCCAAUUCUGAGAGUUGGUCGAGAUAUGGUAUCCGUUUGAGUAGGCUUCUUCAGCAUGAAGGCAACCCACCAAGUUUUCUAAUCGAAGGGAAUGAACCUGGUACCUUCUUAUGGAGCUGCUUAAAGAGAAUCAUGCUCGAAGAACAAGUCAUUCCACCGAAUGAUCCGGAUUUCACGAGAUAUUAUGAAAUAUCAAAAGAUAUUUAUGUAACCGAUAUUUGCAUGUAUUUUUCCAGUAUUAUUUGAACUUGUAAUUAUUUGUAACAAUCUCACACUACACGUGUAGGGCCUAGAUCAUAUUUUAAGGCCCAUGGAACACUAAGAGACUAUAAAUAGAGACCCCUCACAAUCAUUAUGAAAAAGUUUCAGAUUCACACUUUACAUACAAACUCCCUGUUGAAUUGUAUUCUUUCUCAAGCAUAGGAAACUCAGUUGAACCUUGUUCAUCUUGAUCUUGAGUCUAAGACUUUCUUGAUUAAUAAAAGUGUAAGUGGACGUAGGUCAUUACCAACUCUUGGGGUCGAACCACUAUAAAUUUUAUGUGUCGUUUUAUUUGAUUUCAACUCAUUAAAUUCAUUUAUGUCGUUCAUAUUGACUCAGUGUCAUUGACCAAAACGCUGGUCUACAGUGACCAUCUUUAAUCCUUGAGCUUGAUAUUCUCCUAGUAUUUUAUUCACCACUAGUUGUGAAUCACUAUAUAUUUCAAGAGAUCGGGCAAUCGCGUCAUUUGCUAGUCGUAGUCCCGUGAGCAGUGCUUCGUACUUCGCUUCAUUGUUUGAUGCAGCAAAGCCAAACCUAAGUGCAUAAUGGAAAUGGUGUCCCUCUGGAGUGAUCAGAAUUAAACCUGCUCUGGAGUUAUGUUCAUUUGAUUAUCCAUCAACGAAUAGCCUCCAGGUUGGGUUUUCUUCUUUUGACUCUUUACCUAUGAUCGCCUGCUCAGUGAUUGGCAGACCUAUUAAUUGUGCUACAAAAUCAGCCAGUGCUAGCCCUUUUUUGCUGAUCCUAGCUAGUAGGUAAUCUUGAAUUAGCCCCACUCUAUAGCCAACUUAAGUAGUUGACAAAUAACAUCUAGUUUUUGCAACACCUGUUGAAAAGGUUGGUCAGUUAGUACUGUUAUUGGGUGAGCUUGAAAGCACGGCCGUAGCUUUUGAGAUGCCAGCAACAAAAAGUAGGUCAAUUUUUUGAUGGCUAGAUACCUUGAUUCUGCCCCAACCAGCCAUUUACUAAUACAAUAAACUACACUCUGGACCUUAUUUUCUUCUCUGAUCAAGACUGUGCUAGUAGCGUACUACAUGACUACUAGGUAAACGAACAAAGUCUCUCCUUCGAUUGGUUUGGAUAAAAUUGGAGGUUGCGCCAUAUUUUUUUCAAUAGCUUGGAAAUCCUGCUAGCAUUCUUCAGUCAACUCGAAUUCUUGCUACCCCUCAAUAGAUUAAAAAAUGGGACACACUUUUCUGUUGAUUUUGAAAUGAAUCUAUUGAGAGAAGCUUGAGAGAGAAAGUUAUUUUCAGAGAGAGAGAGGUGAGUGAUCAAGUCACCAAUUAACUCAAAUGAACAUUUUAAAUAGAAUUGGAUCCACAUUAUACUCAACCAAUGAGAUUCAAGCAUUUUAAUUGGAAUUUUGGAGCCAAAACACGUCACUUUACAAACACAUACAAACGGCCAGAGGUGACGCAUCGUCGACGCCUAUGUUUUGACACUCCAAAAUUUGUCUCAAAACAUCCCCAAAUGCUCACAAUAUUUUUCGGUACUCUCAUAUACUCCAAAGAAACACUUUGGAACCAAAAAGAUGAUUUAUAAAUGCAUAUACUGAAAUUCAACUCUUACAUGUUGAAUUUUGUGAAAUCGUUAUGGGUUUUGUACCUCUUUGUGCCUAACCAAUUUCACCAUGUAUUUAACCAAUCACAACACUAUCUACCUCUGCUCAAUUUGGGAAACACCUUAUUUGGUGACUUGAUCACCUAAUUGGGCAUUUAGUUGAUUAAUACCUCGUUGAACCUCUCUUUAUGUGCAUUAAGGAUGCUUGAGGAAAUGAUAAUUGUACUAUCACCACUUUGUUUUGCCUAUGUAAUCGAAGAGUUAUAGCAUUCCCUCGCAUCCCUUUGGUUCCCAAAUAUACAUCUUAUUCCUGAAUCAGUUGGAAAGUUCAUGAAAAAUGACAUACGAAUGUAACUGCUCGCAACUCCCGAAUGAGUGGCUGCUGGAAUUCGAUCACCGUGCCUUUCUCUUCGAUCAUGCAACGCAUUCCUCAAAUUUUCUUCUUUGCACCUUUUUUCUGACCCUCCUAAGCAGUAAAACACAUUAGCAUUUCUUAGUCGCCCCCCUACAUUUUGAUUCUCUUUUCAGUUGUUCAUAGGUGGGAGCACCUAUUGUCCUCACCCCUGCUCAUCAUGUCGACCAGCAUCUCUCCUUUGAUUUCUAUAGUACUUUGAUUCUUCCUUAUUAUAGUCACGUCUGUCCCUGUACUUAGACCGAUUUGUAUGUGACCGACUAUAUAUGUUGUCUCCUUCUCUACGAAUGAGGCUGUCACGAUAAACAUGUGGUUGCAUUUGUGGCCUGCACUGGUCUCUAGGUCAUGGGGCAUUAUUAUGCCGUGGGGGACCUCCGACCGCAAAGACUAUGUCAGGUUGCUUCCUGUUUCCAAGAUGGAUAUUUUUUUACUCCCUUCUAGGAAGAACUUAUUCAUCAGUCACCAGGCAUCUUGGGCUUCGAGGAUGCUGCUCAUCCCUGUUUUUCCUUGAAAGCUGCUCACUUUGUCGAGCAAAGCAUUAGGGUGGACGCUGCUCAUCUUGUCUGCCAGAUUUUUUAUAUUGGUUUUUCUGUCAAGUAGCUUGAGGUUGUUCUGGGUGCUGCGGAUCCUGAGGUGGUGGAUGAUUUUGAGGCAGCUCAGGUUGUUGUGGUUUCUAUGCAGGUCGAUAUCCCUGAUUCAGCUAAAUAGCAACUUCUAGGGUAGCGGUGGCAUGCCUCUGUUGACAGUCCAUGUCCGCUUGUCUGAUAUUUAGUUCUUGCUUCUGCAUGUCAAUUUCAAUCUAUUGCAUGAUCAUUGAUUCAGCUACAUUCUCCUGGUUAUCUUUAGAAGUGUCUAACUCAUCCUGCAACAUUCCAAACACUGCUCGCAUGGUUUCAACAUCCAUCUCGUCGCUUUCAUAUUCUAAAUGCACCUGCGGUUCUUCUUCAACAACUCCAGAGGGAGGAGGUAGAGGUGGUUCCUAUAGGCCCUUAGAUGUUUGGCCUACUUGUUGGCUUUGGGUCUUCUUAGGAGGCAUGCUUGCUUAGUUAAAUGUUGACCGUAGGUAUCUUUGAGUUCAACUCUCAAUGAAAGCACCAAAAUGUUGACCAUCGAUCUAGCCCACGGCACUAAGUUAAUUAAACAAUAUGAAAUGAGAACAAAACUUUAAAAAUAUAAAUGACACAAGAUUUUUAUAGUGGUUUAGCCCCAUAAUGGUAAUAACCUAUAUCAACUUUAUUACUUUUAUUUAUGAAGAAGUCUAAAACCCCCAAUUAGAUUAAUAGAAUCAAACGGUUUUGUGAGUUUGAGAGAAUACAAGAUUUGUGUAUAAAAGCAUCUAAACAGAAAAUUCUCAAGAGAUUAAAGAAUUACAGUGUACCAAAAUAAUGAUUCACUAGGACCUCUACUUAUAGGAUUAGGAAUAUACAUAAAUGGGUUGUUGGCCUUACACGAUUUACGUAAUAAAUAUUGAUAAAAUACUAUAAGAAAAAUAAAUAUCUAGUUUUACCUAACUCUGAGCGUUCUUUGUGUAUUAUCCGACAAGCUCUGAUCGUGUAUGUACUGACUAUUGGGAUUAGUGCACUUUAAAGCAUAUGUAUUGAGCAUCGUUUUAUGAAAUAAAUAAUUGAAAUGAAUUUUCAGCAUAUAUUUAUUGUUUAUAUUGAUAGAAUAAUUUUAUAUGAAUAUCAGAAAAUUCUCAAAUUCGUUAUUGUGACUACAAUCUUGUAUUGGUAUGAGAGGAUUAUGAUUGUAGGAAACGAAUUUAAAUAGUUUGCACUAAAACAAAUUUAUAGGGAAUCUUUAGAUU